AAGCGGGGGCUUACCAUGCAAGUCGAGCGAGAAAGCGGCCUUCGGGUCGUUAGUAAAGCGGCGCACGGGUGAGUAACACGUGGGUAACCUGCCCUUCGGUGGGGGACAACAGCUCGAAAGGGCUGCUAAUACCGCAUUCGUCGGUGACGGCCUUGGCUGUUACCGGGAAAGGUGGCAUCCGCAAGGGUGCUAUCGCCGGAGGAGGGGCCCGCGGCCCAUCAGCUUGUUGGUGAGGUAAUGGCUCACCAAGGCUCAGACGGGUAGCUGGUCUGAGAGGAUGAUCAGCCACACUGGGACUGAGACACGGCCCAGACUCCUACGGGAGGCAGCAGUGGGGAAUAUUGGACAAUGGGCGAAAGCCUGAUCCAGCCACGCCGCGUGUGUGAUGAAGGCCUUCGGGUCGUAAAGCACUGUGGGGAGGGAAGAACAGGUAGUGGGCUAAUAUCCCGCUACCCUGACGGUACCUCCUUAGCAAGCACCGGCUAACUCCGUGCCAGCAGCCGCGGUAAUACGGAGGGUGCAAACGUUGCUCGGAAUCAUUGGGCGUAAAGCGCGUGUAGGCGGCUUGUUAAGUCGGGUGUGAAAGCCCUGGGCUCAACCCAGGAAGUGCGCCCGAAACUGGCGAGCUAGAGUACGGGAGAGGGUAGUGGAAUUCCCGGUGUAGAGGUGAAAUUCGUAGUUAUCGGGAGGAACACCAGUGGCGAAGGCGGCUACCUGGACCGAUACUGACGCUGAGACGCGAAAGCGUGGGUAGCAAACAGGAUUAGAUACCCUGGUAGUCCACGCCGUA
rnacentral:rRNA from 1 species